rnacentral:lncRNA from 1 species
CUUACCAUUUAAUGGUACUAAUAAGGUUUAGAAAGAAGAUGUAGGACUUAUUUCAACUGGUGGGUCUUGUAGGGUCUUUGUAUUACUGGGAUGCAUAAAACCCACCCUGGAGUUUCCAACAGUUGAUUAUUUUAUCCCAGGUUUAGGGUACUGUUCACACACUAUCCCUGGGUUUGGUGCCCACCUCCAGGGAAUGUUCACAGCCUGAGGACUCCAUGCUGAGGGGUGAAUUUGCCAUCAUCUAUCAGCAAAUGCACAAGAGCACCACUUACACCCAUCCUCUCUAACUGCCUGGAUUCACUGGAGCACUGAAUCCUGGCUAUGGCCACAGAUGGAAUACAUCCCAGUUCUGUUUCUUAGGCACAGGUACUGGAUUAGCACAUCUCACUGUUUUUUGUCCCUGUACUCCAAAUAACCAAGAGCAAGCACAGUUAAUUACUGUCUCUCUACUCAAAGUAACCGAGCAUGGUUAAUUAUUUUUUAAGGCUCAUUACAACAGAAAUCCCAUUUUUUUCAGGCAAGCAAGACAACUGAGGAGUGAAAGCUGAAAAUUCUCAUUUUGUCUUAUUCACAAAGCUCGAACUCUGCUUCCUUAGCAACCCUUUGUGACCUAUGAACUGCAAUCUUGGCCAUAGUUGUUAACCUGUGAAUCUUGGCACUUGAACAAAUCUCCCUCCUCCAGCUUCAGAUAAUCCAAGAUUCUUAAAGUUUUGAAAAAGACUUGGGACUACAAUCAUCUGCCACGUGUGGAAACCCCAGGAGAUUCUUUCAGAAAUGACCUUUCUGGACAUCGAUUAAACUCAGUCACAACAGGUUAACAAGGCCAUGCAGACUACCCCCAUCUCCUGCCUUCCACUCCUGAGCCACGGGCUGGGCACAGCCUUCAAAUGUCCUGAGAUACUUCCCUCAGAUGGCUGGAACAACACACCAGCAAUGCCAAGGCUGUGGGUUUGGAGCUCCUGAAGA